rnacentral:rRNA from 1 species
UACGGAGGGUGCAAACGUUUGCUCGGAAUCAUUGGGCGUAAAGCGCACGUAGGCGGCCUGUUAAGUCGGGUGUGAAAGCCCCCGGGCUCAACCUGGGAGGUGCGCUUGAUACUCGAGGGCUUGAGUGCGGGGAGAGGAGAGUGGAAUUCCCAGUGUAGAGGUGAAAUUCGUAGAUAUUGGGAAGAACACCGGUGGCGAAGGCGGCUCUCUGGACCGUAACUGACGCUGAGGCGCGAAAAGCGUGGGGAGCAAACAGG